AUUGAACGCUGGCGGCAGGCCUAACACAUGCAAGUCGAGCGGAUGGAGGGAGCUUGCUCCUGGAUUCAGCGGCGGACGGGUGAGUAAUGCCUAGGAAUCUGCCUGGUAGUGGGGGAUAACGUCCGGAAACGGGCGCUAAUACCGCAUACGUCCUGAGGGAGAAAGUGGGGGAUCUUCGGACCUCACGCUAUCAGAUGAGCCUAGGUCGGAUUAGCUAGUUGGUGGGGUAAAGGCCUACCAAGGCGACGAUCCGUAACUGGUCUGAGAGGAUGAUCAGUCACACUGGAACUGAGACACGGUCCAGACUCCUACGGGAGGCAGCAGUGGGGAAUAUUGGACAAUGGGCGAAAGCCUGAUCCAGCCAUGCCGCGUGUGUGAGGAAGGUCUUCGGAUUGUAAAGCACUUUAAGUUGGGAGGAAGGGCAGUAAGUUAAUACCUUGCUGUUUUGACGUUACCAACAGAAUAAGCACCGGCUAACUUCGUG
rnacentral:rRNA from 1 species